rnacentral:tRNA from 1 species
GCCUUCGUGGUGUAGUGGUCGACAUGUUCGACGCGUAACCGAGAGGUCCAGGGUUCGAUUCCCGGCGAAGGCG